rnacentral:lncRNA from 1 species
AUUCCAUUUAUUUCUCUUUUUUAAACAAACAAAAUGACCUGUCCAUAAACUAUACCUCUGUACAGUAUUCUUGCAAAGAAUUUCCGUUUCCCAGGAAUCAUGAUGUGAGUUUAGAUUGCUUGGCUCUAGCAGUAGGUUUGGUGAAGAAGUUCUCUUGUUCUAUUCCUACUCUAUCUGGACAUAUAAUAGUCUUCACAGACAGCACAAGAUCAUCUCAGACAAUCUCUUCUUUUGGUGCCUUUCUGCCAGAAGACAUUCAAGGACUCCAGUUCAGACUUUGUCUUCACAAUCAAAAAAACCAGUUUUGCUGCAGAAAGGCUGUCAGGACAACAGUCUAGGCUGGUUUUCUAAGUCAAGAAAGGUACUGAUCCUGAAAAGAAAGGCCAAAAAAUCUAGGACUCUAAUGACGUGAGUGGAUGAAUGAAGCUGCAUGAACUUUGUCUGGAAGGAAAGUGGAGGAAGAGAUGGCUUGAUUACAGAAAAGUUUGAAAGUAGAAACUUUUUUUUUCUUCUAAUUUGGUUCAUUGAAUCAUUUGUAUACACUUUUACAAAUGACCAGUAAAUUAAACUCCUAAAAACUGCCAUUUGUAACUAUUCCAAACUGCCAGUUUGAAUGGUCUAUGAAGAUAUCUUUCCAUCCACACCACUUCCCCUGCCACUUUCAGUUAAGAUUGGAUCCUGAUGGAUAGCAUCAUUUUGUCACAUUGUGGCACUCUUUAUAAAUAGCAUAAUGCAGUGAUGUACAGUGCACUGACAAUUGCAGUUUUAGUAGCUAUUGGGAGAGCUAAAAAUGAACAUUUUCCAUAAUCUAGAUCGUUUACUUUGGCGGCUGGGCUUUCUGCACAUCUCCAGUAUGUAUUCCCAUAAGAUAUUAAAAAGGAUGUAUAUGUUUUUAUUAUAUUGUGUAUACACUUUGGUAGGUGUAAAAUAAGUUUACAUUUUAAAUGCAUUUGUGCUACUAUCAGAGAAAAGCAAAACAAAAUAAAUUGAUGCCAGGGGAAAUGUCA